AGAAUCAACGCUGGCGGCGUGCCUCAGACAUGCAAGUCGAACGCGAAAGUCCCCUUCGGGGGACAAGUAGAGUGGCGCACGGGUGAGUAACACGUAGGUAAUCUACCUUCGGAUGGGGAAUAACAACCGGAAACGGUUGCUAAUACCGCAUAAUGCAGCGGCACCUAAUGGUGACAGUUGUUAAAGCGGGGGAUCGUAAGACCUCGCGUCUGAAGAGGAGCCUGCGGCGGAUUAGCUAGUGGUAGGUAACGCCUACCAAGGCGACGAUCCGUA
rnacentral:rRNA from 1 species